rnacentral:rRNA from 1 species
UACGUAGGGGGCAAGCGUUGUCCGGAUUUAUUGGGCGUAAAGCGCUCGCAGGUGGUUCGAUGCGUCGUGCGUGAAAGACCCCGGCUCAACUGGGGAGUGUCGUGCGAUAUGGUCGGACUGGAGGCCAGUAGGGGGAUGCGGAAUUCCGGGUGUAGUGGUGGAAUGCGUAGAGAUCCGGAGGAACACCAGCGGCGAAGGCGGCAUCCUGGACUGGUCCUGACACUCAUGAGCGAAAGCGUGGGGAGCGAUCCGG